UUGUAACUCGCCCUGACUUCCCGGUCACUCUGAUAUGUGCCCUGCAGUCUGCAUACAAGAGUUAGUUGCUAAGCCAUGAUCUUCAUCUUUCCCAGACUUUCCUUGUUUUGUAAAAUAAUAGUGACUGUUUUUUUUAUUUUUUAUGUUUCACUAUCUCUUGGUUAUAUCAAAAUUACAGCUAGUUUUGAGUGAUUGAGUUCAUCCCAAAGAAAAUUGAAAAUCAAUGAAAUUUGUCAUUUCUAGUUAAUCUUGGAAUAAUCCAUCAGAUAGGACUUCUGUUUCAUUAGUUCUUCAGAUGAUUUAUGAGUUAGCCCAAUAUAUGAAUUGCAGUAUAAAGAUUUUAAAUGUUUGUUUAUUGAGAGAUAACGUUUCAAAAAUUAAGGAUAAGACAGAAGCAAUGGUGUGUGUACAUAAAUAUUAAGGAUAUCUGUAUAUAAAAAUGUGACCUUGAGGAUAUUAAUAAAUAUCCAGUGUCCUCCAUCAAGUAUUGGAACAGUUAAGUCAAAAUUGCCUUUGGAUUACUGUAUACACAUGAUUCAAAAUUAAGAUAAGCAUUUUAAUAUGAGGCUGACAUAGUGGUUAUCAUUUUUUGUUUGAGAGGGUGCUAUUGUAUUUUGGGAAAAAAAUACCACUUUUUGUGUUCUAUUCCUAAUGCUUCAGACGAGCAACUGUUACUGUAAAACUGUUAAGCAUAUAGUGUAUGCAAUAGAUUUAAAGUUAAUAUU